GAAACGACUGCUAAGACUGGAUAGGAAAAGUAAAGGCAUCUUUACUUUUUUAAAAGACCUUCUUUGAAGGUAUGCUUAAGGAGGGGCUUGCGACACAUUAGUUAGUUGGCAGGGUAAAGGCCUACCAAGACUAUGAUGUGUAGCUGGACUGAGAGGUUGAACAGCCACAUUGGGACUGAGACACGGCCCAAACUCCUACGGGAGGCAGCAGUAGGGAAUUUUCGGCAAUGGAGGAAACUCUGACCGAGCAACGCCGCGUGAACGAUGAAGUACCUCGGUAUGUAAAGUUCUUUUAUUAAGGAAGAAAAAAGAGUGGAAAAACUCCCUUGACGGUACUUAAUGAAUAAGCCCCGGCUAAUUAUGUGCCAGCAGCCGCGGUAAUACAUAAGGGGCGAGCGUUAUCCGGAAUUAUUGGGCGUAAAGGGUGCGUAGGCGGUUUAAUAAGUCUAUAGUUUAAUUUCAGCGCUUAACGCUGUUGUGCUAUAGAAACUGUUUUACUAGAGUGAGUUAGAGGCAAGCGGAAUUCCAUGUGUAGCGGUAAAAUGCGUAAAUAUAUGGAGGAACACCAGAGGCGUAGGCGGCUUGCUGGGACUUUACUGACGCUGAGGCACGAAAGCGUGGGGAGCAAACAGGAUUAGAUACCCUGGUAGUCCACGCCGUAAACGAUGAGUACUAAGUGUCGGGUAAAACCGGUACUGAAGUUAACACAUUAAGUACUCCGCCUGAGUAGUACGUACGCAAGUAUGAAACUUAAAGGAAUUGACGGGACUCCGCACAAGCGGUGGAUCAUGUUGUUUAAUUCGAAGAUACACGAAAAACCUUACCAGGUCUUGACAUUUUCUUGCGAAGUUAUAGAAAUAUAAUGGAGGUUAUCAGGAAAACAGGUGGUGCAUGGUUGUCGUCAGCUCGUGUCGUGAGAUGUUAGGUUAAGUCCUAAAACGAGCGCAACCCUUGUCGUUAAUUGCCAGCAUAUAAUGAUGGGGACUUUAACGAGACUGCCAAUGAAAAAUUGGAGGAAGGUGGGGAUUACGUCAAAUCAUCAUGCCCCUUAUGAUCUGGGCUACAAACGUGAUACAAUGGUUGAUACAAAGAGUAGCUGAAACGCGAGUUCUUAGCCAAUCUCAAAAAAUCAAUCUCAGUUCGGAUUGAAGUCUGCAACUCGACUUCAUGAAGUUGGAAUCGCUAGUAAUCGCGAAUCAGCAUGUCGCGGUGAAUACGUUCGCGGGGUUUGUACACACCGCCCGUCA
rnacentral:rRNA from 2 species